rnacentral:lncRNA from 1 species
CAAAAAAAUGGAAAUCCUUCGUUGGAGCAAUUAAUAAAAAAAUUGCUAGCUUUUGAUCGUUUAGAUAUUGUGAAUAAAAUUGAAAAAAUAUGUGAAGAAAUUUCAAGUUCACCAAAUAAAGAAUCUGAUUUUUCUUCUAAUAAAGAUCAUCAAAGUGACGACUAUAAUGAUUACCGUGAAUUAUUCAUUGAAUGUUUUUAUGAAAGUCAAUCAUCAUUUAAUGAUGAAAUUAAAUCAAUUGUUGAUAAACGCGAGUUGAGUUUUGGUAUUUUGAUUAACGAUGGAAAAACUUCAUAUAAAACUUCUUGCGAAAAUUACUUUGUAAAUCAUUACAUAAGGUCUGGAGGAAAGUUAUUGACGGUAUAUAUAUAUAUAAAAAUAUUUUAAGUGAUGAAGAAAGAAAACUUGUAAUUCAAUGUUCAGCUAAUGUUCGUCAUGUCUACUUUUUUUGUCCAAUUAACUUCGAAGGAUGGAAACCGAAAGAUAGGAUAGAAUGAUUGAUGAUAUCUCAUGUUAUUUAGUUAAAAAAAAGAUUUUUAAGAAAACCAUGGUUUUUCUUCCGUGGAUUAAUCUUUGUGAAGAAUUAAAUCUUAGACUUCACGACGACAUUGAUUUUUUUAAAGAAAUUUGUGAAUGGAUUCGAUGUUCGAAUAUCAAGAUGUUGAGUAUCAAUUUCUGUAAAGAAGA